rnacentral:rRNA from 1 species
UUUGAACGCUGGCGGCAUGCCUUACACAUGCAAGUCGAACGGCAGCACGGGAGCAAUCCUGGUGGCGAGUGGCGAACGGGUGAGUAAUAUAUCGGAACGUGCCCAGUCGUGGGGGAUAACGCAGCGAAAGCUGUGCUAAUACCGCAUACGAUCUAUGGAUGAAAGCGGGGGACUCGCAAGGGCCUCGCGCGAUUGGAGCGGCUGAUAUCAGAUUAGGUAGUUGGUGGGGUAAAGGCCUACCAAGCCUGCGAUCUGUAGCUGGUCUGGGAGGACGACCAGCCACACUGGAACUGAGACACGGUCCAGACUCCUACGGGAGGCAGCAGUGGGGAAUUUUGGACAAUGGGCGCAAGCCUGAUCCAGCAAUGCCGCGUGCAGGAUGAAGGCCUUCGGGUUGUAAACUGCUUUUGUACGGAACGAAAAGGCUCUGGUGAAUACCUGGAGUUGAUGACGGUACCGUAAGAAUAAGCACCGGCUAACUACGUGCCAGCAGCCGCAGUAA